UUAACUGGGACAAAUAACUGAUUAUUUGACCUCAAAUCAGGUAGGACUACCCGCUGAACUUAAGCAUAUCAAUAAGCGGAGGAAAAGAAACUAACAAGGAUUCCCCUAGUAACUGCGAGUGAAGAGGGAAAAGC
rnacentral:rRNA from 1 species